rnacentral:lncRNA from 1 species
UUUGAAUCUAAGGGCGUCUCCGUAACCCUGAAAGGCUCCUUUUAGAGGAAUGUUUAAGAAGAUCAAUAAUGUUUUUCGCCCCAACCAUCAUGGACACAGACAACGGGAUGGUGGUGGGUUCAAGUCCAAGGACUACCACAACGCCUGCACCAUCCGGCUGGUGCGCAGCACCUCCAUGCUCGUGGUGGGAGAGAAAGCUCAAACAGCCAUGGGCUCAACUUUAAAACGAAGCAAAAGCACAGUGAGCAUUGAGUCGACCUUGUACUAUUAUCAGAGGCAGGAGGACAGGAUAUGGCUGUACUCUCAGAAUCAGAACUGCCUGGAGUACCUGGAAGCACUUGUGGCUUUGAGACGGCAGUAUACAAAGAAUGUGAGUGACUUAAAAAGUAAGGACACCAAGGCCACAGUUUCCUCCAAGAAAAAGCCUGCACCUCCGGCGCCCAAUAAGGAAGAAACGAUAUCAAGAACCAAAUCAUCUGUGCCUCCAGUCUCCAGUGAGGAGGACACUUUACAGUUCUUUGAUGCAGUCAUUGCCAGCUGUGACACCGAAACUCUACGCAAACCUUAUACGGACGAUGGGCACGCUGACGUAGAUUUCAUAGUGGCCUCCAGCUCAGCUGAACACGACCUCCACUCUAAUUGGGUCUUGCGAGUUCCGCAGGUCAUGGAUGACUCCAAGCAGAAAGUGGUUCACGACUGUGCCAAUAAAAGUGUCCCAAAAAAGAAAAACCUGAGUGGGUCCACAAGCAGUAGACUGCGACUUCAGAGGAACCCGAUCCACCUGCCCAAAGUGGUGGAGAGUGCAUUCCAGACUUUGCGCUUCAAGCCCAAAUUAAAAUAGCAGUAAAGCUUAACAGACAUUUAAAGCCAUCAGCACUGCCACCCUUACAGCAUCAUCGGAAAUAAGAUUACUUUAACCAUUGUGUUAAUAGCACUUCUUUCAAAUGUGCUUUUGAACUAAAUAAGAGGAAUGUGCAGUGUUGUCAUGGGUGUGGGAUUUAGGCUGAGUGCAGUUUACGGUUAAGACCUGCAGAGACCAGAUUCCUCCCAGGUAUGAAAGCCAACUUCGAAAUGCAACAGUGACAGCUUCACAGUAAUAUCACUGUCAGAAUAGUAAACAUAAUUUAGAGUGGUGCAUGAAUGUGUUUGAUUUAAAAGUGUUGUUCCGAUUUGCAAGGGCUCAGCUGACUGAAUAGUUCAAACCCAUCUUGGGUUAUUCUGCUCCUUGCUGCUGAUGUUAAAAUAGUUCAGAGGAAUAAAACUUAUUUCCGUAAGACAGAACUUGGAUUCCAGCGGUGCUGAUAUUUCUUGUAGUUUUAUUUGCCCACGUUUUCAGAUACCUUUCACUGAAAUGUCUGAUAAAAUAGCGCUGACUACCUUUUUAGGUGCCUAUGGCCUUGAAACAUAUAAAUGAUCCCCGCCUG